UACGAAGGGGGCUAGCGUUGUUCGGAAUCACUGGGCGUAAAGGGCGCGUAGGCGGCCCGGCAAGUCAGUGGUGAAAGCCCGAGGCUCAACUUCGGGUCGGCCACUGAUACUGCUAGGCUUGAGUCGACUAGAGGCAGAUGGAAUUCCGGGUGUAGCGGUGGAAUGCGUAGAGAUCCGGAAGAACACCGGUGGCGAAGGCGGUCUGCUGGGGUCGAACUGACGCUGAGGCGCGACAGCGUGGGGAGCAAACAGG
rnacentral:rRNA from 1 species